rnacentral:tRNA from 1 species
AAGGUUAAAGCAUUAGGGUAAUGCACCCGGCUUGAAACCGGGGGAUGGGGGUUCAAAUCCCUCUAACCUUG